GUGUCAGCCGCCGCGGUAAUACGUAGGGUGCAAGCGUUAAUCGGAAUUACUGGGCGUAAAGCGUGCGCAGGCGGUGAUGUAAGACAGUUGUGAAAUCCCCGGGCUCAACCUGGGAACUGCAUCUGUGACUGCAUCGCUGGAGUGCGGCAGAGGGGGAUGGAAUUCCGCGUGUAGCAGUGAAAUGCGUAGAUAUGCGGAGGAACACCGAUGGCGAAGGCAAUCCCCUGGGCCUGCACUGACGCUCAUGCACGAAAGCGUGGGGAGCAAACAGGAUUAGAUACCCUGGUAGUCCACGCCCUAAACGAUGUCAACUGGUUGUUGGGAAGGUUCCUUCUCAGUAACGAAGCUAACGCGUGAAGUUAACCGCCUGGGGAGUACGGCCGCAAGGUUGAAACUCAAAUAAAUUGGCGG
rnacentral:rRNA from 1 species